rnacentral:lncRNA from 1 species
CACAAGCCUACUACGUUUUGAUUCUCUAGAAAUGCAGUUCAAUCAGGUAUAUACCAUAUUUGCUCAUAUAUAGAUUACACAUUUUUUAUUGAGAAUGAAAAUUAUUCUAUUUUCAGAAAUUUUACAUCAAUUUGUUUUAAAUCGUAAACAACUCAUAUCUACUGAAAUGUUAAUUUCUUCAUUAGAAAGAAGACUGUUUCCCUGGCUCCCUUGCCUCCAGCCUGUUUAUCCAUUUUCUCAUGGAGAGAAAGUAACAAAUAUUUACUAUUGGUGAAGCUGGGAUUGUUUUUAAGAGAGAGAAUGGUUUCACAUUUCUAAUGUGCUAAUGGACUAAUCUAUGAAACAGAUCUGAGUCUGUUUUUUAAUAUCUGCUUUAAUGAAAUAAUUUUAUUAUGGGAGUAAAGAUAAGAGGGAAAGAGAUUAACAUCAGGUAUAAUUAGGUUUUCAGGCUUAUCAAGCAUUUAGAUGCUUAUCAAGCAUUAGAGAUGAUAGCACUUCUAAAAUUUUUUGAUCAGCUCUUAAAUUCCUUUGUCAGUUGCUUUAC